CUUGUGUAUUACCAAUGGUUUUCCCCUCUUAAUCCUAAAUAUGAAUGCUUCACAUUCACUUGGCAUUCUCCUUAAAAUUCCCUGCUAUUUCCACACCUCUAAUCCACAUGGGGAAAGCAAUGGAGGGAAGUAUACUAGGGAAAGAGGGGAUUGUGGCCGACUUCAGUCGUUUCUAUAAUCAUUUAAAUUUUCCCCAAAUCAUAGGCAGGCUGACAUUUUAAAAAUUCUUUUGAAGAGUGGAAUGUGUUUUGCUUCAAUAAAUACUACUUUUGGAGGACUAGAAAUUCAGGCACAACUUAAAGGUGAAAUGCUCCACCACACUCUUAGGAUCACAACAAAAUCUAAGGGCCAAAUUCUCGGCUUGGAUAAUUCUGAAUACUGCUCUUGUUUUGAAGGCAAUGAUACUAGGACUGCCAAAAUCCGGUGUAAAGCUCAAGAAAGAACCUGGGGCCAGCCCAGAUAUCCGCAAGGCAAGUGUUUCAUGACAGAGCAAUUAUUUAAUCUGAUGCCCAGAUCAGACUAGUCAAUACUGAUUGACUGAAAACAAAUUCGAGCAGCUGCCCUCGCUUCUUAUAGUUAGGAUCUCCCUUGCGCCUGCCUUAAAAUUCAGCCCCCGGACUCCACACGGUUCACACCAGGGCUGGAAGCUGAACCGGUUUCUGACUCUGAAGGCAGAGUGAAGCCUAUGGGAUGAGACAAGCUGUCCACGCAGCAAUUCUGUGAAGCCUCCACGAGAAAAUCUGGGUCCCAUCACAGCCCUGUGCUGAACAAGGAAAGUGACAGCAAGUGGCAUCAUCGGGAUGGGGAAAGGGCGGCUUUCUGACCCACACUGGGAAGUGUGGCCACCUUAUUAGUUUGAACAAGGGGAGCAAUUCUACCUUGAGGAAGUUGUGUGCACAAUAGAGAUCUUCUGGAGGAGGUGACUGAAGAAAAGCUUUUUUCUUUCUUCUUUUUUUUUUUUUUAAUUGUACACCAAGCAGAUACAGAUGCACAAAUGCAAGAGGCGUUAAAACCCUGGAACACAGAAAAUGAAGCUAAAGCUCAGUGUCAUAUUUGUAGCACAUCUUAUUAAUGAAUAGAUAUGAAAUAAUACUUGAUAAGAACGUACACAGAAAAUACUUACCUCUUGCAUGUAACUGUAAGCUUAUUACACUGUUCUCACACUACUGUGCCUUUUAAAGUUCAGUUGACUUCACUUAAGUUUCACUUAAGUGAAAGAUCCUAUGGUUCAGGAUCUGCUUUAGGUGCUGAAUCUGGAGAGAUGGGUAAUGGGCUCUUCCAGUUUCUCCUUUGAUUUUUAGCUAGAUGUGGAGCUGGCCAAGCACAAGCAGAAAUGGUUCCCAGGAAUUAUUGCAAGAGCUGGCUGGCACCACCGCAGGGACCGUUCUGCCCGGAUCAGGGCAGGUCAGGGCCUCCGAGGAGAGACCUACCGGACAUGUGGGCAGAGCAGAGGAAGGAAUCUCUUUGCCUGCUCUGUUUCCCACUCAGUAGGGCAGACUCAAUAUUUGUGAAAUUUCCCGAGACAGACACAGAUCAAGAAGCAAAGAUUAGAUUAUGGAGCAAGGUAUCAAAUAUAACCUUAUGUUAAGCUCGGAAUAGGAAAACAGCCCCCACUUUGGUACAGAAAAGUGGGAAAAGGAUUGCAACCAUCCGCACAGCAGAAUUUCUAAAUCUAAAAUGUAAAGUAAGUAACUAGCUAAAAAUGAGGACAGAUUUGCAUGGAAUGUGUGUAAAGCAGUGUAGCCCUAGAGCAACUGUGACCUAUGUGAGAAAUUAUGUGGGUUUCUCUGUUAACUAGAAAAAUGAAGUGUAAUUUCCAGUACCACAGCAACAUUAUGCAUAGUACUGAAUUUCUUUAGGAAAAGCACAGAAAUAAAUAAUGCACAAUU